GACGAACGCUGGCGGCGCGCUUAACACAUGCAAGUCGAACGGGGAUACGCCUUCGGGUGUAUUCUAGUGGCGGACGGGUGAGUAACACGUGAGGAACCUGCCUUUGGGAGCGGGAUACCGUCUGGAAACGGACGUUAAUACCGCAUAACGCAGCGAGGCCACAUGACCUUGCUGCCAAAGAUUUAUCGCUCAAAGAUGGCCUCGCGCCUGAUUAGAUAGUUGGCGGGGUAAUGGCCCACCAAGUCUGCGAUCAGUAGCCGGACUGAGAGGUCGAACGGCCACAUUGGGACUGAGAUGCGGCCCAGACUCCUACGGGAGGCAGCAGUGGGGGAUAUUGCACAAUGGGCGAAAGCCUGAUGCAGCGACGCCGCGUGAGGGAAGACGGUUUUCGGAUUGUAAACCUACUGUCUUCGGGACGAACAAGACGGUACCCGAGGAGGAAGCCACGGCUAACUACGUG
rnacentral:rRNA from 1 species